AAAGAAGAUGGUCCAUGAAGAGGUGGGGGCAGAGGAACCCUCUCUGGAGCAUUCCCUGACCGUUGACCCAAUAUGCCAAGCUCAAUGGUUGCUCCGUAUUGAGCAGGUAUUUCCAUCAAUGCUGCUAGAGCAAGAGCAAACUCUGUCUCUUUUCUGGAUUCAUUCACAUUUUUUGACAUUAUUUCUGUGAAAUUCACAAACUGAAAAUUAUCGAAGGCUCGAGCAGGGAUAUUAUCA
rnacentral:misc_RNA from 1 species